AAACCUCCCGGGUCACGGGACCCGCGCGCAGUUAGACACGCCGCGAGGGCAGCGCCGGAUCGCUUCUUGCCAGUGUUAUUUACUUCAGUGAGCUGUGGCUGACGUUAAACAAUAGCAAACCCUUACGCCAUCACACAGCGCAGCGCCUGUCGGCUCAGGUCUCUGCUGGAGGGAAGACAGAAAGCGACGCACCCGGGCGCGUUCACAUCCCUUGUACGAGCUCGCCCCCGGCGCGGCCGUGAGCGAGGCGUGCGCGUCUCCCGGUUGGGGCGCGCGGAACGGUGAUGCUGCUGAGGAGGAAGAUGGCGGCGGAGUGGAGUCUGGAGAGCUGCUGCGGGCACUGAGGGAGCGAGAAAGACACCGGAGAGAAAGGAAGGGAUACAAUAAAGGCACGCCAGCGACCACACACACCGCAGCCCAGUCACCGCCUCCGGCAAACCGGCGUCAGGAGCGCUCGCUGCCCUCGCAGGCUCUUCGGGGGAGCCGAGAGAGGGACCUCAGGAGCCCCCGGUCCGGAGCGCCUGGGAGCUGGGAGGAGACUCGCCGAGCAGCCGGCGGAGGGAGAGGCUGAGCCACACCGGGGAGCCGCGGCCCGGAGAGGAGCAGCCAUGGCUUGCUCGUCCGACAGCGAGGACGAUGGCUUCGUUGCCAUGGACACGGAGGAGGCGGCGGGCGGGGCUGCGGGGG